rnacentral:rRNA from 1 species
AUGAAUAUUAAUCUCUGCCACCUGCUCAAGGCAAGUUUCAUCCACUUGAAAAGAGCAUGGACUGUCAUGGUGCCAUGGGCUAUGCACGAAAAGUUGGCCUUAGAAUCUACUCUUGUCAGUUUGCCAUGCGGAUUAGUACAAUCUAGUCUUGUGGGAACAACAGUCAACGUUUGGUGCAACUUAAUCCUGCACACACACACCGAGUUUCAAGCAAGCCGAAGAUAUCAGAUAUACGUACGACGUAUAUGCUUUCAUUCCCUGCUCCGCUCGUCAAGAUUUUGUCAAGGACACGGCAUCCCUACUUCAGUUCUGCUCAGUUUCGGUGCCGAUGUACCACUUCUUGUUCACUUUCAUGGCGAGCAUUUAUUCAGAGUUCAGACCGAAUCCUUGUACUAG